rnacentral:rRNA from 1 species
GUGAGGAAUAUUGCGCAAUGGAGGCAACUCUGACGCAGCCAUGCCGAGUGCAGGAAGAAGGCGCUACGCGUUGUAAACUGCUUUUAACCGGGAAGAAACCCCAGGACGUGUCCUGGGUUGACGGUACCGGAGGAAUAAGCACCGGCUAACUUCGUGCCAGCAGCCGCGGUAAUACGAAGGGUGCAAGCGUUAUCCGGAUUCAUUGGGUUUAAAGGGUGCGUAGGCGGAGCGUUAAGUCAGUGGUGAAAUCCUGCAGCUUAACUGUAGACUUGCCAUUGAUACUGGCGCUCUUGAGUGCGCUUGAAGUGGGCGGAAUGUGCCGUGUAGCGGUGAAAUGCUUAGAUAUGGCACAGAACACCAAUUGCGAAGGCAGCUCACUAAGGCGAUACUGACGCUGAGGCACGAAAGCGUGGGGAUCGAACAGGAUUAGAUACCCUAGUAGUCC